UACGUAGGGGGCUAGCGUUGUCCGGAUUUAUUGGGCGUAAAGAGCGUGUAGGCGGCCAGGUAGGUCUGCUGUGAAAACUCGAGGCUCAACCUCGAGACGUCGGCGGAAACCAUCUGGCUAGAGUCCGGAAGAGGAGAGUGGAAUUCCUGGUGUAGCGGUGGAAUGCGCAGAUAUCAGGAGGAACACCAAUAGCGAAGGCAGCUCACUGGGACGUUACUGACACUGAGGCGCGAAAGCGUGGGGAGCGAACAGG
rnacentral:rRNA from 1 species